rnacentral:rRNA from 1 species
GACGAACGCUGGCGGCGUGCUUAACACAUGCAAGUCGAACGGAAAGGCCCUGCUUUUGUGGGGUGCUCGAGUGGCGAACGGGUGAGUAACACGUGAGUAACCUGCCCUUGACUUUGGGAUAACUUCAGGAAACUCGGGCUAAUACCGGAUAGGAGCUCCUGCUGCAUGGUGGGGGUUGGAAAGAUUCGGCGGUUGGGGAUGGACUCGCGGCUUAUCAGCUUGUUGGUGGGGUAGUGGCUUACCAAGGCUUUGAAGGGUAGCCGGCCUGAGAGGGUGACCGGCCACAAUGGGACUGAGAUACGGCCCAGACGCGUACGGGAGGCAGCAGUGGGGAAUAUUGCACAAUGGGCGGGAGCCUGAUGCAGCAACGCCGCGUGCGGGAUGACGUCCUUCGGGUUGUAAACCGCUUUCGCAUGUAACGAAGCGGGAGUGACGGUAAUGGGUAAAGAAGCACCGGCUAACUACGUG